UUGUGGGGCUGCACCGUGAACACCCACAGCAGGUACAGCAUGAACAUGGGCAGGGCAGACUUACUCCAUGGCAACAUGCCUCAGCCCUUCCCUGGGGCGAGAGGGGAGUUCAGUCUCCAUGGCUCAUGCAGCCCUUGGCUUUU
rnacentral:sRNA from 1 species